GAAAGUGGUAUCAUCCUAGGUAAGCUUAUUUCAGAACAAGUCUAAUAUUUCAGAUUCUUUCUUUUCGACUUUAUACUCUGAGUUAUUACUUACUGUAAGUGGUGUAUAUGAAACCUCCAUGCAUUUUCCAGUAUGGAUCUGCUAAUAUGCACAGUAAAUCCAUGUCUUUGUUUGUUUUUCUAUUAAAAAGCAAUCAAGAAAGAUAAUGUGAAAAAGAAAGGAAUGUAGAGGUAGGGAAAGGAUGAAUGUCAGACAUUUGAAGAACUAUAGUAAAAUGAUAAACACUAAAUAUACUUGAGAAAACUUUCUUAAUAUGCCAAUGAGGUAGGCCUGAUCUUUGAAAUAGUGAAUAGG
rnacentral:lncRNA from 1 species